AAUUAAUCUUCAUAGGAUAAGUAAUAGUUUUGAAUGGAUGAUUCAGAAGUUUUAGGACAUGCUGUCAACUUUUAAAAUUGAAAUUAGCUAUAUCAUUUUAUAUAAUUUACUAUUGUUUCUUUUCUUCCUCAGAGUUCACUUAAGAAACACUUAGUUGGAAAAUGACCCCUUGAAACCAUUGUUCUUGAGUGUCAGAAUUAAACUCCAAAAUGUCAUUAUUAUGUUCAAACUUCAUAUGACCUGAUCUAGAAUCUUCAAACACAUAUGAAAUACAGAAAAUAGUAUGAUAAACCACUAUACAUCACCACCUAAUUCAAUAAUUAUCAACUAGUCAAUCUUAUCCUUUGGUUAUUUUGAAAUAAAUCUUAGACAUACCAUUCAACUGGCAGAAAUUUAAAAUAUAAUAAUAGCAAACAUGCAAGAAAAAUUUUCAAUUACGUUUUAUAUUUCUAAAUGUAAAACAAGAAUGCAUAGCAGCAAGCACAGAGAAUAUUCAAGAAAAACUAACUCAUUUCAAUCACUCUUAAAAUGCAUAUUAUAUCAUUAAUUUAAUUUUUUCUGCAAACUAAAACUCAUUACUACAAUAUCUAUAUUUAUGUCCCCAGUAGUCAAACAGAAUAUACAGGACAAUUAAUUCUUUACCUUGUUGUUUUUCUUUCAUUAAAUGUUUCAGUUAUCUGUUAUUGUAUAACAAACGCCACCAAUACUUAGUAUUUUUAACAUAUAAUAAUGUACUAUUCCUCAUUAUUUUAUAAAUUGACUAAUCUGUUUUCUGCCAGUCUUGCCUGAGGUCUUUCAUGAAGCUGCAUGGAGGUGUCCAGAUAGAACUGGGGUUGGAAAACUCUCUUAAGGGCUGGAAAGUUAAUACUCUCAUCGUUGCAGGCCCUGUGGUCUCUCUUUUAACUACUUAACUGUGAUUUUUAGCUGCAGGCAGCCAUAGACAGUAUGUAAAUGAAUGAACAUUGCUGUGCUAUAAUAAAACUUUAUUUACAGAAACAAGUGGUGAACCAGAUUUGGUCCAACCGCUAUAUUUCACAAGCUCCUACCUUAGAGUAUUAAUGAUUUAUUCAUUUAACAAACUUAUAUAAAAUUUGACUAUAUAUAUAUAUAUAUAUAUAUAUACACACACACAUAUACAUAUGUAUAUAUACACCUCACUGUUGUACUGACUGGUCAAAUUUUAUAUGUAUAUUUAUAUAAAAUUUUAUAUAUAUUAUAUAUAAUUUUAUAUAUGUUACAUAUAAAUAUAUAUUAUAAAUUAUAUAUGUUAUAUGUAAAUAUAUAUUUUAUAUAUGUUGUGUGUGUGUGUGUGUGUGUGUGUAUAUAUAAUUGGACCAAUCAGUACAGCAACAGUCAGGUAUCAGGAGAGUUACUCCCUUUACACUUAGUUGUAUAUCUGUGGAAUACGACUUGAAGCUGACCUGAGACUUAGGUCAUAUCUUAUUUAUAAUUGAAUUAUUUACAAUAUGUAGUACAAGAGGGCUGCCACUUUGCGUAAAUCUAAUAAUAUCUUGCUUACAUUUUCGUGAGUUAAGUGUAAUGAACUGUGAUUGAAUAAAAUAUUUUUAUAUCAUGCCAGCCUAACAAAUAAUUUGUUAAUGAAGACAUUAUUUUUAUAUAUUUUAUUGUAAACAUUUUUAAAUAUUGUAUUCUAAGUUGUUAGAUUAUGUCGUACUUAAAUGUUAAUGACUGUAUAUUCUGUGAAAUAAAAUUUUUAUCAAUGUAAAACAG
rnacentral:lncRNA from 10 species